GGCGGAGUGGCCGAGAAGGUGGUGGGUUGUAGCCCCAAAUACAGAGGUUAAAUCCUCUCUUCGUCA
rnacentral:tRNA from 1 species